rnacentral:rRNA from 1 species
UUCCAGACUCCUACGGGAGGCAGCAGUGAGGAAUAUUGGUCAAUGGGCUUACGCCUGAACCAGCCAAGUCGCGUGAGGGAAGACUGCCCUAUGGGUUGUAAACCUCUUUUGUCAGGGAGCAAUUGGCGCUACGUGUAGCGUUAUCGAGAGUACCUGAAGAAAAAGCAUCGGCUAACUCCGUGCCAGCAGCCGCGGUAAUACGGAGGAUGCGAGCGUUAUCCGGAUUUAUUGGGUUUAAAGGGUGCGUAGGCGGGACCUUAAGUCAGCGGUAAAAUUGCGGUGCUCAACGCCGUAGAGCCGUUGAAACUGGGGUUCUUGAGUGAGCGAGAAGUAUGCGGAAUGCGCGGUGUAGCGGUGAAAUGCAUAGAUAUCGCGCAGAACUCCGAUUGCGAAGGCAGCAUGCCGGCUCCACACUGACGCUGAGGCACGAAAGCGUGGGUAUCGAACAGGAUUAGAUACCCGAGUAA